rfam:Dipodomys ordii contig_14176, whole genome shotgun sequence.
GGUGGCUCAGUGGUAGAGUGCCUGCCUCGAAUGCACGAGGCCCUGGGUUCGAUUCCUCAGCACCA